UGUAAAAAAUGAUUCUGGGUUUUAGUCAAGUGGACAAAUAAAAUCAUGUCCUGUCAACUUGCAGUGUCUCACAACACAAUAGGAUGAGUUAUAUCAACCUCAACUUGAAGGGAAAUUGAAAACUUUAAAUAACGUGUUCAUAUAACAACAAAACAUAAGUUCUGUCAAGUUUCUUUCAAAUGCGCAUGUGCCAGAAACUCUACGUCACGAUGACGUACUAUUUUAUCGAAUUUGAGACAGACGCGCCAUCCGCCAUUUUCUGCACGAGAAGCUGCUGCUGAUCACGCAAGAAAAGAUGAUGAAGGAGCCCGCGUUUGAACGACUACAGAAUAAAGAUGGACUUUAUGGACCGCAAAUAAUGAAAUGAGAUCAGUACAGUGGAAGCACAACUCCAUAUCGAUGAGGUGGUGUUGCAAGAUUUGUAGACACCAAAAACCUUCUUGCUUUACUAAGAGAACAUUCAAAAAGUUUGAGUUGAUCCUGUUCCAGAUUCUAUUGACGGCCUCAAGCUUGAACCUAAAAGCAGGCUCCAGCUGAAAGACACUUUUGACCUUCAAUAAGAAGAUGAAGACUUCCAUGAUUUCUGUAACCUUACAUGUGUAGCUGAUCUGUCCAAA